GAUGAAGAACGCAGCGAAAUGCGAUAAGUAAUGUGAAUUGCAGAAUUCAGUGAAUCAUCGAAUCUUUGAACGCACAUUGCGCCCCCUGGUAUUCCGGGGGGCAUGCCUGUUCGAGCGUCAUUUCAACCCUCAAGCUCUGCUUGGUAUUGAGUCCAUGUCAGCAAUGGCAGGCUCCAAAAUCAGUGGCGGCGCCGCUGGGUCCUGAACGUAGUAAUAUCUCUCGUUACGGGUGCUCGGCGUGCUUCUGCCAAAACCCCAAUUUUUCUAUGGUUGACCUCGGAUCAGGUAGGGAUACCCGCUGAACUUAAGCAUAUCAAUAAGCGGAGGA
rnacentral:misc_RNA from 1 species